GCGGGACUGCCCGGCACGAGCCGCAAGCGAACAUCCCUGAGGCUAUAAGCAAUCCUUGGGAGCUGUCCCUGUCCGGAGAAUCGGGUUCGUCCCGGCGAUCUGGAUACACGGCGCCCACCUGACGUUGAGGCGUCAGAGGAUUUCCCGGCAACGACCCAUGGUGGUUCCGCC
rnacentral:other from 1 species